UUCCCUAUCUGAAGCCCUAGUUGCUGAAGAUCACCGCCAGUCCCCAAAGCUAUUUCCUCUCUCGACUCUCUUUCUCAGUGUCUCGUCACUAUCUCCCACGAGCCCAAGCUCUCGGCAGCUCAUCUCAUCUCAUCUCCGGUCUCUCACCUCUCGUUUCUGGUCUGUCAAGCUCUCGUCAGCUCAAGUUCUCCCUUCCCUGCGCUCGCUUCGACGGCGGCAGAAGCAGACGGAACCGCAUCUGGUCCAUCGGGUGGUGGUAGUCAUCGUCUUCUUGCUUCUCAUGGUCUCGGUCUCGCACCUGGUUUCGAUCUCUCCCUUCCCUGCGCUCUUCGACGCCGGUAGCAGAGGCAACAGAUCCCCAUGGGCUGGUCUUCUCGUCUUCUUGCUUCGAGCCUUGCAGUCAGCCUCUCCCUUGCCAUCAGCUUCUCCUUCGCCAUCAGCUUCCUUCGCGCAACCUUAUUUGGUGACGGAAAUUCUUGUACCAAGUCUGGAAACUGAGUCAAGCCUGCAUCGGAAGGUGUGGACCUAUUUUUUCUUGUUGACUCCAUUGCUCAAAGUUCUCUUGGUUUGAAAGGUGAUGGUGGUGCAUUUUCAUCUGCUAUGCAAGCUGUCCUCUCACGCUUAUUGUCUGCUGCUGCUCCUCUUGGACAUACUACGCAAGAAAAUCGCAGGCAGUGUCUUAAUGCAAGUUUUAAGGCUGUGGUUGGAGAGAAGAAUCCUUCCAGAAUCCAUUAUUCGUUGUCAUAUCCGGGAACUGGACACCUAUCAUAGUUCAGCAGGUGUUUAUUCACGACGUAUGUUACCUGUUAGAGAAAUGGAGGGUAUGCUUGUUGACUAAUAUGGAAGCAACUCAAGUUUUCAGUUUCCUGGAUUUUGCAUGCCUCAAAUGCUUAAAGAUGAAGAAGGGAGUGAUUCUGAUAGGGGGAACUUUGAGGCCGUCACUCCCGAGCAAAAAAAAUUAAAAAAGGCUGGCCCUAUAAGCCAAGCCUUUAUUUUGGACCUAGAGGGGGCGAGUAGUGGCCUCGCCCCCAGUUCACACUUAGGGGCUUCUUUCAGGGUUAGUAUCACCUAUUUCUCCUCCGUCUUACUUUCUCCGUGCUAAACUUCUUGAUUUCCUGAAGUUCUUAAUCCUUUUAAUUUUAAUGUGAGUUUUUUUCUUUUUUUUUUUUAAAUCUUUGUUUGACUGUGCUUCUUAUGCUCUCUAUUUUUUGAACAAAGAAGCAUAGUUUUGAACUUUGAACUUAUCCAAAUCUGUAAAUUUGACUAAGACUUGAGUGGGUUUGGUUUAGUUAUAACUAAAGUUGGUCUUAAAGUUGUACUAUUUUAAAAUUUGAAAUAUUUUAUCUAAUGUGUAUUUGGGAUGAGAUUCAAAUUGUGUUUUCUAUAAUCUGAUUUUGUUAGUGUAGAAGUUCAAAUGACAGUAGCACUAAUAUGAUAAAAUUCUAGUUAGGCCCUCAAGUGGCAAGCAUAUAUAUAUAUAUAUAUAAAGAUUUAGAGUCUGUUUGGGUGAGUUUCUAAGAAAAGAUUUUUUCUUGAGUUAUUUUUUUUUAAAAGAUUUUAUGAAAAAGUAAAAGCAAUUUUAUGUUUGGGUAUCUCAUGCAAAAGAUUUUUUUAUCUUUCAAUUAUGUUCAUGUUCGGGUAUAACAAUAUAAAAGUAUUUUUUGUUUAUUUAUUACAUGAAAAAUAUCUUUUUUUUUAAGAGAAAAAGAUCUUUUAAAAAAAAUGUAAAUUACAACUUCUCAAAAAAGAUGUUUUUUAUUUUUUCAGUGCUUUUACUUUUACUACUAGAAAUUUGCCAAACAUGCUAAAAAUAAAAAAAGAUUUUUUUCAUUAAAAAAGAUCUUUUUUUAUUAAAAUAAUAGCGCCCAAACAAGCACUUAACACCCUUCAUUUUAAAAUGGGUUGCCCUUAGCACUAGGAUUAAGCUAUGACACUAAAACUACUCGUAUUAAGUCUUGCUAAAACUGCCCACAUUUCACUCUAAAUUUUGAAGUAUAUGAACAAAGAUUACAUUUUGGUUUGAUUUAUUAGUUUGUUAACUUUUAUGUUCUGUAAAUUGUUUGAUAAAAUGCUUUAAUGAAAAAAAUGCAAAUAUAUUGAUUCAUAAGUUGGAAAAAUUGACAUGUGUUUAGACUAGAUAAGUAUUUUAUGUUAUAUUUAUUUUACAUUUCACUCUAUAUAUUCAUGGAUAUGUGUUUGUGAUUCAAUUUUAAAGUAUACGGACAUGGAUUACAUUUUGGUUUGAUUUAUUAGUUUGUUAACUUUCAUGUUUGCAAAGAUCCUGAUUCAUAGAGACCUAGUGUUUACUUUGUUAGUUUAAUGUGCAAAUUUUAUUUUUAGCUGAUCUUAACUUGUAUUUUGGGGGCCAAAGAGUUAAAGUUCUUAUUUUUUAGUUGAUGUAUGUAGUUGUCAUAAUAAUUUUCUUAAGUUAAUAGAUGUGUUUUUGAGUUAAUUAAUUUUUUUGAUUCUUUGAUUGUUGUUGACAGUAACUAUUAAUUGUUGUUUUUGUUGAGGUAUGUUUUAUUGUUGUUAAAUUUUAUACUUAACUUUUGUACGAUUAAUCUUAUUCGGAAAUAAUUUUUUUGCUGGGCGAAACCGAAAGCAGUACAUAUUUCAGAAUGAAAAGUCGAAAUAUGUUUGUUAAGGCGUCGUAUAUGUUUCAAAGUCUUUCCAAAUACCACGGUGGUGGUUAUGUUUGAUCAUUUCCCACCUACGUGGGGUGUCUGAACACAGCUUAUGGUACCUGUGUUGCUGAAUGAGACUAAGAAUAACGUUGCUUGCUGAUGCCAUUUUGAGGCGUAGGCUAUACUUUAGUUUUCCGAACCAAAAUGGCAUCAGCAAGCAACGGACGCUCAUUAUUAUUGUAUUGUAGCGUUAUUAUUCUUAACCUCGUUCAGCAACGCGGGUACCAUUUGUGUGAUCGGGCACCCCACGUAGGUGGAAAAGGAUGAAGCGGACUCACCCACCGUGGUGUUUGGGAAGACUUUGAAACGUACUUAACAAAUAUAUUUCGACUUUUCAUUUUGAAUUAUGUGCUGCUUUUGGUUUCUCCCAACAAAAAAAUUAUUUUAGAAUAUGACCAAUAGUAUAAAGUUAAGUAUAAAAAUUAACAAUAAUGAAACAUAACUAACUCAAAAAAACAACAAUUAAUAGUCAUUUAGUGUUAACAACAAUAAAGAAAAUUAUUUAACGCAGAAAAUUAUUAUAACAAUUACAUACAUCAAUUAAGAAGUAAGAAUUUAACUUUUUAAUCCUAAAACACAAGCUAAGGUCAGUUAAAAACAAAAUUAAUUUUCACAUGAAACUAACAAAGUUAAUAUUGGGAUCUCUAUGAAUCAGUAUCUUUACAUUUUUCUAUUGGAUCAUUUUAUCAAAUAGUUUACAAACAUGAAUUACAAACUAAUAAAUCAAACCAAAAUGUAAUCUCUGUUUAUAUACUUCAAAAUUGAAUUUACAAACACAGAUCCAUGAAUAUAUAGAGUGAAAUAGGAGCAACAUAAAAUACUUAUCUAUAGUCUAUACAUAUUAAUUCUCCCAACUCUAAUGAACUUAAAAAUAAGUAUGUUUGUAUUUUUUCAUUGGAGUAUUUUAUCGAACAGUUUACAGACAUAAAAGUUAAACAAACUAAAAUGUAAUUUCUGUCCAUAUACUUCAAAAUUGAAUCACAAACACACAGAUGCAUUUAUAUAGAGUGAAUUGUGAGUAGUUUUAACAUAGCUUAAUCUAAUUGGCAAUCCGUUUUAAAAGCAAAAAGGAAUUGGAUAACUGAGUGAAGGGUGUUAAAUCUUUUUAUAUAUGCUUGCUAUUUGAGGGUCUAAUAAGGGUUUUAUCAUAUUAGUGCUACUAUUAUUUAAACUUUUACACUAACAAAAUUAUAUUAUAAAAAACACAACAAUUUGGAUCUCAUCCCAAUUAGACAUUAGACAAUAUUUUAAAAUGGUAAAACUUUAAGAUCAACUGUAGUUAUCAUUAAACCAAUCCCGGCUUAGUCAAAUUUUCAGAUUUGAACAAGUUCAAAACUAUGCUUCUCUCUCUUGUUAAAAAAAUUUAGAGUAUAAGAAACACAUUCAAACAAAGGUUAAAGAAAAAAAAUGGAAUAGGAAAGAAACUCACGUUAGAAGUAUUAAGAAUGAGAGGGAAAUCAAGAAUUCAACAAGACUCAAAUAAGGAGGAAUAGCGGAAGUAAGAAGAAGGAGAAAUGAGUGGUACUAAUCCUGUGAAGCUGUGACCCAUAAGGCAAGAAGCACGAGCAGAAUAGCCUAAGGAGAAGAGGAAUGGAUUUGUGCGUGACUAAGUGUGAACUGAUUCACCGGAUCAGAGUUAGGGUUUUUUUUUUCAAAUUUGGAUCUUAAUCUGGGUUCGGAUUCGGAUUUAGAACUGUUUGGAUUUUUUAUUUAAAAUUGAUUUUAUGGAUUUUUUUGCAUGCCCCUAAAUUCAACAUAUACAACUAAGAAAUAAAAGAUUUAUUAGAAUAGUAAUUUUAUGUAUUUUAUAUCACAAAGACUAUUUUUAGGAUUAAAAGAGAAAAAAGAGAGGAACUAAAAAAGUUUUAGGAAGCUAAACACGAGCAUCAUCCAUCUAUUAAUGUGAGGUGUGAAAGUUGGCACCAACUGAGUAUGCAAUUUCAUUACGUAUUAAAAUACAUUAAUAAUUAUAUGAAUUGCACUUUGAGUUCAUACUUUACAUAAAGUAUAGUUCUAUUAAUUCAUCUUUAACCGAACAUGAUACAUUUUGAGCAAGCAUAGUUCUAUUAAAUCUAUGCCUUAUUUUUGAGUUAUGCAUGCAAAAACUUUGUAGAGGUUAUACAGAAAGCUAGUGCCACAAAAGAUACUUUAUUAGCCUUCAGUAUAUACCAUUAACUUGAUCAACUAUGCUUCACCUACCUAAUCAAGUUCAUAUAAAAUCAGCUAUGCUUAUGGUUCACGCAUUCUAGAACAAUGAAGACGACCACGGAACUAAAAAAUUUAUAAAUCAACAUAUACAAUGUAAGAGCUUUGAUUAUUUAUGCAUUGGUUUGAGAAAUAAAGGAAC